AUGCGUUGUUGGUUGAAGUUGAAUGGGCAACCGAAGUGGAACCUUUUCAUUGCCAAGACCGCCGCCCAAGUCAAUGAGGAAGAAACCGAUGACCCUACCGACCAAACCCAAGAGCCACCGAAGAAGGUUAGCAGAAAUUUACGGGGCAAGAAGUGGGAGGAGGAGAGGGCGAAGCGAGAAGGUGCGGCGGCCAAGCUGACGGAGAGGUUCAAGGACAUCUUGGCGAAGGAGGAGGAUGCAUGCGUGAGGUGCUCGGACAUCAAGAAGGAGAGGAAUGCGGAGAGGUUCAAACAUUUGAUGAGGCGACGGAGAAGAAGACCAGGGUCGAAGAGAGAAGGACCAUGA
rnacentral:rRNA from 1 species